rnacentral:rRNA from 1 species
GGUCCAAAGGCGCAAGUCGCCUGGGGAGGAGCCUGCGUACGAUUAGCUAGUUGGUGGGGUAAAGGCCUACCAAGGCUAUGAUCGUUAGCUGGUCUGAGAGGAUGAUCAGCCACACUGGGACUGAGACACGGCCCAGACUCCUACGGGAGGCAGCAGUGGGGAAUAUUGGACAAUGGGCGCAAGCCUGAUCCAGCCAUGCCGCGUGGGUGAUGAAGGCCUUAGGGUUGUAAAGCCCUUUCGGCGGGGAAGAUAAUGACGGUACCCGCAGAAGAAGCCCCGGCUAACUUCGUGCCAGCAGCCGCGGUAAUACGAAGGGGGCUAGCGUUGCUCGGAAUCACUGGGCGUAAAG